AUUACGAUAGCGCAGUGGUUAGUGACUCUCAAUGCUGUGCUAAGGGUCCCGGGUUCGAUUCCCGGCCGAGGCAGAUA
rnacentral:tRNA from 1 species